rnacentral:rRNA from 1 species
UUAGUGGCGAACGGGUGAGUAAUACGUGAGUAACCUGCCCUUGACUCUGGGAUAAGCCUGGGAAACUGGGUCUAAUACUGGAUACUACCUCUCACCGCAUGGUGGGUGGUGGAAAGGGUUUUACUGGUUUUGGAUGGGCUCACGGCCUAUCAGCUUGUUGGUGGGGUAAUGGCUCACCAAGGCGACGACGGGUAGCCGGCCUGAGAGGGUGACCGGCCACACUGGGACUGAGACACGGCCCAGACUCCUACGGGAGGCAGCAGUGGGGAAUAUUGCACAAUGGGCGGAAGCCUGAUGCAGCGACGCCGCGUGAGGGAUGACGGCCUUCGGGUUGUAAACCUCUUUCAGUAGGGAAGAAGCGAAAGUGACGGUACCUGCAGAAGAAGCGCCGGCUAACUACGUGCCAGCAGCCGCGGUAAUACGUAGGGCGCAAGCGUUGUCCGGAAUUAUUGGGCGUAAAGAGCUCGUAGGCGGUUUGUCGCGUCUGCUGUGAAAGCCCGGGGCUCAACCCCGGGUCUGCAGUGGGUACGGGCAGACUAGAGUGCAGUAGGGGAGACUGGAAUUCCUGGUGUAGCGGUGAAAAUGC